rnacentral:rRNA from 1 species
UGCAAGUCGAACGGUAACAGGCCUUCGGGCGCUGACGAGUGGCGGACGGGUGAGUAACGCGUAGGAAUCUGCCUUAUAGUGGGGGACAACGUGGGGAAACCCACGCUAAUACCGCAUACGCCCUACGGGGGAAAGGAGGGGAUCUUCGGACCUUUCGCUAUGAGAUGAGCCUGCGUUAGAUUAGCUAGUUGGUAGGGUAAAGGCCUACCAAGGCGACGAUCUAUAGCUGGUCUGAGAGGACGAUCAGCCACACUGGGACUGAGACACGGCCCAGACUCCUACGGGAGGCAGCAGUGGGGAAUAUUGGACAAUGGGCGAAAGCCUGAUCCAGCAAUACCGCGUGUGUGAAGAAGGCCUUAGGGUUGUAAAGCACUUUCAAUUGGGAGGAAAACCUGUCGGUUAAUACCCGGCAGCUUGACAUUACCUUUAGAAGAAGCACCGGCUAACUCCGUGCCAGCAGCCGCGGUAAUACGGANGGGUGCGAGCGUUAAUCGGAAUUACUGGGCGUAAAGCGUGCGUAGGCGGUUCGUUAAGUCAGAUGUGAAAGCCCUGGGCUUAACCUGGGAACUGNAUUUGAAACUGGCGGACUANAGUUUANUANANGGGAGUGGAAUUUCANGUGUA